rfam:Gossypium raimondii Chr06_contig_1287, whole genome shotgun sequence.
UAAUAAAAAUUUUAUUCAUUUGUAUUGUUAAAAACUGACGUGAUUGAUGAAAUAAUCAUAUACAUACCACGUGUACUUCAUACCGAUGUACAAGUCUAGUUUUCUACUAGUAUAAAUAGAUAAAUUUUUUAACA